GUAACAAAGCCAGCUUCACUUUGAGAGAACCUAGAUGCUAAUUGUAAAGAAGCUUGGAGUCAUAAUAUAUUUAAACGUUAUAUGUUUGCUGUUCUUCAUCUUUUUAAAUAUGAAGUCUAUUCAUGUUUAUGUUUACAGAGGUCAUGUACACUGUGGUCAACUUUGUGGACGCUGAAGAGGUUUCUGGGUAAAGAUGAUAGAAAUAUAAUGAAGUAACAGUGGAGGCAAAACAUCAGACUGAUCCAGACACUGAAGAAAUUGAUGUCACUGCAAUCUGGCCAAAAUGAUACAACUAUAUUGAACUAGCCUACUGUAAUGAAGCUGCAGAACAACACAGAGACUCUGAGGACAUCAACACAGAAAAUGAAGGCUCCAAAGAGAUGUCUGUCCAGAUGAGGGUGCAUCAACUUUACCUUUGCUGACAACAGUUAACUUAACUCAAACCAUUUAAGGAAAUCGGUUGCCUUAAACCAUUAAGUUUUAAAAAACAUACAUUUGAGUACUGUGAACUUAAGUCUUGUGCAAUUAUGCACUUAUAUUUAGGUAGU